rnacentral:rRNA from 1 species
AUUGAACGCUGGCGGCAGGCUUAACACAUGCAAGUCGAGCGGGGUGAUGGUGCUUGCACUAUCACUUAGCGGCGGACGGGUGAGUAAUGCUUAGGAAUCUGCCUAUUAGUGGGGGACAACAUCUCGAAAGGGAUGCUAAUACCGCAUACGUCCUACGGGAGAAAGCAGGGGAUCACUUGUGACCUUGCGCUAAUAGAUGAGCCUAAGUCGGAUUAGCUAGUUGGUGGGGUAAAGGCCUACCAAGGCGACGAUCUGUAGCGGGUCUGAGAGGAUGAUCCGCCACACUGGGACUGAGACACGGCGCAGACGCCUACGGGAGGCAGCAGUGGGGAAUAGUGGACAAUGGGGGGAACCCUGAUCCAGCCAUGCCGCGUGUGUGAAGAAGGCCUUAUGGUUGUAAAGCACUUUAAGCGAGGAGGAGGCUCUUUUGGUUAAUACCCAGAAUGAGUGGACGUUACUCGCAGAAUAAGCACCGGCUAACUCUGUGCCAGCCGCCGCGGUAAGAC